rnacentral:lncRNA from 1 species
AGUCUUGGAGUCUUGAAAGUCCCAGAUCACAGGCCCCACAUCUGGUGAGGACAUUUGUGCUGUGUCAUCCCAUGGCAGAAGGCAGGGGGCACGAGCGCAGGGGUAAGAGGAUGAGAGACAAGAGAGGGCUGAAAUGACUUUUGCAAUAAACCCACUCUCACGAUAAUGGACCCGUUUUCGCAAUAAUAAGACCCCCAAGAGCAAGGCUGGUGAAGCCACCGAAGUGGCUAUUGAUGCAGGCUUCCGUCACAUUGAUGCGGCGUUCUUCUACCAAAACGAGGAGGAGGUCGGAAAGGCCAUUCGAGAGAAGAUUGCUGAUGGCCCUGUGAAGAGAGAGGACAUUUUCUACACCACUGAGCUUUGGACAACUUUCUUUAGACCAGAAUUAGUUCGCCCAGCCCUGGAAGGGUCACUGAAGAAACUUCAACUGGACUAUGUCGAUCUCUUCAUUAUCCACAAUCCAUUGGCUAUGAAGCCUGGGGAGGAAUUGCUGCCUAAGGAUGCCAGUGGAAACAUUAUUUUUGAUACUGUGGAUCUUCGUGACACAUGGGAGGCCCUGGAGAAGUGCAAAGAAGCAGGUUUAACCAAGUCCAUCGGGGUGUCCAAUUUCAAUCACAAACUGCUGGAACUCAUCCUCAACAAGCCAGGGCUCAAGUACAAGCCCACCUGCAACCAGGUUUUUGACUUUGAGUUGACUCCAGAGGACAUGAAAGCCACUGAUGGCCUCAACAGAAAUUUCCGAUAUGCUAAGUUACAAUUACUUUGAUAUCUGAAGGUGGAAACCAUCCCUUUUCCCUCUGGAGCUGGAGUGAUGUUCACGGAAGGCAAAGCAGCUGGGCCUGAAUGGGGCUAAGCUCUGGGAGCCAUGAGUGUCUCCACAGAAACAGAGCAGGACAC